rnacentral:rRNA from 1 species
UGGGGAAUAUUGGACAAUGGGCGAAAGCCUGAUCCAGCCAUGCCGCGUGUGUGAAGAAGGUCUUCGGAUUGUAAAGCACUUUAAGUUGGGAGGAAGGGCAGUAAGCGAAUACCUUGCUGUUUUGACGUUACCGACAGAAUAAGCACCGGCUAACUCUGUGCCAGCAGCCGCGGUAAGACAGAGGGUGCAAGCGUUAAUCGGAAUUACUGGGCGUAAAGCGCGCGUAGGUGGUUCGUUAAGUUGAAUGUGAAAGCCCCGGGCUCAACCUGGGAACUGCAUCCAAAACUGGCGAGCUAGAGUAGGGCAGAGGGUGGUGGAAUUUCCUGUGUAGCGGUGAAAUGAGUAGAUAUAGGAAGGAACACAAGUGGCGAAGGCGACCACCUGGGCUCAUACUGACACUGAGGUGCGAAAGCGUGGGGAGCAAACAGG